GGGUUGUGAGGUUAAGCGACUAAGCGUACACGGUGGAUGCCCUGGCAGUCAGAGGCGAUGAAGGACGUGCUAAUCUGCGAUAAGCGUCGGUAAGGUGAUAUGAACCGUUAUAACCGGCGAUUUCCGAAUGGGGAAACCCAGUGUGAUUCGUCACACUAUCAUUAACUGAAUCCAUAGGUUAAUGAGGCGAACCGGGGGAACUGAAACAUCUAAGUACCCCGAGGAAAAGAAAUCAACCGAGAUUCCCCCAGUAGCGGCGAGCGAACGGGGAGGAGCCCAGAGCCUGAAUCAGUGUGUGUGUUAGUGGAAGCGUCUGGAAAGGCGCGCGAUACAGGGUGACAGCCCCGUACACAAAAAUGCACAUACUGUGAGCUCGAUGAGUAGGGCGGGACACGUGGUAUCCUGUCUGAAUAUGGGGGGACCAUCCUCCAAGGCUAAAUACUCCUGACUGACCGAUAGUGAACCAGUACCGUGAGGGAAAGGCGAAAAGAACCCCGGCGAGGGGAGUGAAAAAGAACCUGAAACCGUGUACGUACAAGCAGUGGGAGCACGCUUCGGCGUGUGACUGCGUACCUUUUGUAUAAUGGGUCAGCGACUUAUAUUCUGUAGCAAGGUUAACCGAAUAGGGGAGCCGAAGGGAAACCGAGUCUUAACUGGGCGUUAAGUUGCAGGGUAUAGACCCGAAACCCGGUGAUCUAGCCAUGGGCAGGUUGAAGGUUGGGUAACACUAACUGGAGGACCGAACCGACUAAUGUUGAAAAAUUAGCGGAUGACUUGUGGCUGGGGGUGAAAGGCCAAUCAAACCGGGAGAUAGCUGGUUCUCCCCGAAAGCUAUUUAGGUAGCGCCUCGUGAAUUCAUCUCCGGGGGUAGAGCACUGUUUCGGCAAGGGGGUCAUCCCGACUUACCAACCCGAUGCAAACUGCGAAUACCGGAGAAUGUUAUCACGGGAGACACACGGCGGGUGCUAACGUCCGUCGUGAAGAGGGAAACAACCCAGACCGCCAGCUAAGGUCCCAAAGUCAUGGUUAAGUGGGAAACGAUGUGGGAAGGCCCAGACAGCCAGGAUGUUGGCUUAGAAGCAGCCAUCAUUUAAAGAAAGCGUAAUAGCUCACUGGUCGAGUCGGCCUGCGCGGAAGAUGUAACGGGGCUAAACCAUGCACCGAAGCUGCGGCAGCGACACUAUGUGUUGUUGGGUAGGGGAGCGUUCUGUAAGCCUGUGAAGGUGUACUGUGAGGUAUGCUGGAGGUAUCAGAAGUGCGAAUGCUGACAUAAGUAACGAUAAAGCGGGUGAAAAGCCCGCUCGCCGGAAGACCAAGGGUUCCUGUCCAACGUUAAUCGGGGCAGGGUGAGUCGACCCCUAAGGCGAGGCCGAAAGGCGUAGUCGAUGGGAAACAGGUUAAUAUUCCUGUACUUGGUGUUACUGCGAAGGGGGGACGGAGAAGGCUAUGUUGGCCGGGCGACGGUUGUCCCGGUUUAAGCGUGUAGGCUGAUUUUCCAGGCAAAUCCGGAAAAUCAAGGCUGAGGCGUGAUGACGAGGCACUACGGUGCUGAAGCAACAAAUGCCCUGCUUCCAGGAAAAGCCUCUAAGCAUCAGGUAACAUCAAAUCGUACCCCAAACCGACACAGGUGGUCAGGUAGAGAAUACCAAGGCGCUUGAGAGAACUCGGGUGAAGGAACUAGGCAAAAUGGUGCCGUAACUUCGGGAGAAGGCACGCUGAUAUGUAGGUGAAGCGACUUGCUCGUGGAGCUGAAAUCAGUCGAAGAUACCAGCUGGCUGCAACUGUUUAUUAAAAACACAGCACUGUGCAAACACGAAAGUGGACGUAUACGGUGUGACGCCUGCCCGGUGCCGGAAGGUUAAUUGAUGGGGUUAGCGGUAACGCGAAGCUCUUGAUCGAAGCCCCGGUAAACGGCGGCCGUAACUAUAACGGUCCUAAGGUAGCGAAAUUCCUUGUCGGGUAAGUUCCGACCUGCACGAAUGGCGUAAUGAUGGCCAGGCUGUCUCCACCCGAGACUCAGUGAAAUUGAACUCGCUGUGAAGAUGCAGUGUACCCGCGGCAAGACGGAAAGACCCCGUGAACCUUUACUAUAGCUUGACACUGAACAUUGAGCCUUGAUGUGUAGGAUAGGUGGGAGGCUUUGAAGUGUGGACGCCAGUCUGCAUGGAGCCGACCUUGAAAUACCACCCUUUAAUGUUUGAUGUUCUAACGUUGACCCGUGAUCCGGGUUGCGGACAGUGUCUGGUGGGUAGUUUGACUGGGGCGGUCUCCUCCUAAAGAGUAACGGAGGAGCACGAAGGUUGGCUAAUCCUGGUCGGACAUCAGGAGGUUAGUGCAAUGGCAUAAGCCAGCUUGACUGCGAGCGUGACGGCGCGAGCAGGUGCGAAAGCAGGUCAUAGUGAUCCGGUGGUUCUGAAUGGAAGGGCCAUCGCUCAACGGAUAAAAGGUACUCCGGGGAUAACAGGCUGAUACCGCCCAAGAGUUCAUAUCGACGGCGGUGUUUGGCACCUCGAUGUCGGCUCAUCACAUCCUGGGGCUGAAGUAGGUCCCAAGGGUAUGGCUGUUCGCCAUUUAAAGUGGUACGCGAGCUGGGUUUAGAACGUCGUGAGACAGUUCGGUCCCUAUCUGCCGUGGGCGCUGGAGAACUGAGGGGGGCUGCUCCUAGUACGAGAGGACCGGAGUGGACGCAUCACUGGUGUUCGGGUUGUCAUGCCAAUGGCACUGCCCGGUAGCUAAAUGCGGAAGAGAUAAGUGCUGAAAGCAUCUAAGCACGAAACUUGCCCCGAGAUGAGUUCUCCCUGACUCCUUGAGAGUCCUGAAGGAACGUUGAAGACGACGACGUUGAUAGGCCGGGUGUGUAAGCGCAGCGAUGCGUUGAGCUAACCGGUACUAAUGAACCGUGAGGCUUAACCUUACAACGCCGAAG
rnacentral:rRNA from 1 species